AAAAUGCGAUACGUGGUGUGAAUUGCAAUAUCACGUCUGCCUGGGCGUCACGCACCGUUGCCCUCUAAACCUCCGCAGUCCUUUAGUGGGAUUGUUGAGAUGUGCGGGGGUCGUAAAGUGGCUUCCCGUCGGCUUUGUCCCGCGGUUGGCCUAAAAAUGUAUCCCUAGUCGCGGUGCGCGCGGCAUUCGGUGGUCAUCGAUAGAUUUCGUUACCCCGCCGUGCGCUCCCGUGUUGCGAAGGAUGUCACCAGCAAACCCGAUGUCUCGCUCUGUGAAGAGCGUAGCUUACAACGCGACCCCAGGUCAGGCGGGGCUACCCGCUGAAUUUAA
rnacentral:misc_RNA from 1 species